GACGAACGCUGGCGGCGUGCUUAACACAUACAAGUCGAACGGAAAGGCCCUGCUUUUGUGGGGUGCUCGAGUGGCGAACGGGUGAGUAACACGUGAGUAACCUGCCCUUGACUUUGGGAUAACUUCAGGAAACUGGGGCUAAUACCGGAUAGGAGCUCCUGCUGCAUGGUGGGGGUUGGAAAGUUUCGGCGGUUGGGGAUGGACUCGCGGCUUAUCAGCUUGUUGGUGGGGUAGUGGCUUACCAAGGCUUUGACGGGUAGCCGGCCUGAGAGGGUGACCGGCCACAUUGGGACUGAGAUACGGCCCAGACUCCUACGGGAGGCAGCAGUGGGGAAUAUUGCACAAUGGGCGGGAGCCUGAUGCAGCAACGCCGCGUGCGGGAUGACGGCCUUCGGGUUGUAAACCGCUUUCGCCUGUGACGAAGCGUGAGUGACGGUAAUGGGUAAAGAAGCACCGGCUAACUACGUG
rnacentral:rRNA from 1 species